rnacentral:sRNA from 1 species
UCAUAAACGGGAUGGAAGCGGCAUACUUUGGCUGUAGGCCUGAGUGUUGUGGAAGGAUAGCCAAAGAUAUAGCGAACAGCCCGGCUAACA